rnacentral:rRNA from 1 species
GACGAACGCUGGCGGCGUGGAUUAGGCAUGCAAGUCGAACGGUAUCAUCCUUUCGGGGGUGAGAGAGUGGCGAACUGGUGAGUAACACGUAGGUUAUCUACCCUCAAGACGGGGACAACCCAGGGAAACUUGGGCUAAUACCGGAUGUGAGCAACUUUUAGUUGUUUGAAAGGUGGCGUAAGCUGUCGCUUGGGGAUGAGCCUGCGUCCUAUUAGUUAGUUGGUGAGGUAACGGCUCACCUAGGCAAUGAUAGGUAGGCGGCCUUAACGGGUGGUCGCCCACACUGGGAUUGAGAUACGGCCCAGACUCCUACGGGAGGCAGCAGUCGAGAAUAGUCUACAAUGGUCGGAAGACUGAUAGUGCGACGCCGCGUGAACGAUGAAUCCCUUCGGGGUGUAAAGUUCUUUUAUAUGUGAGCAGUGCUUCUUAUAUUAACAGUAUGGGGAGAGAGAUAUUAGCAUAUGAAUAAGCAACGGCUAACUCCGUGCCAGCAGCCGGGUAAACCUCGU